rnacentral:sRNA from 1 species
UAAGGUUUCAGAAUUGGGAUUUGGAAGGCUUGCUUCUGCCUCCUCUGCCAGUGCCGCGAAGUGUGCUGCUGCCAAUUGCCAUGGAGAUCUCUGUGCGCGUGGUUGCGUUUUGAUUUUUGCAGGUGCUUCACGGUUCUAAUUAUCUCUCACGAUGAUGGUGGAAAACGAAGGGAAUCACGCUCUUGAGUUUCGCCUCGAUCAUGCUUGCGCGACUAGGGUUCGCUGAUUUGGGGCUUUUUUUCUACGUUUUAGGGUUCCUCUGUCGUUUCUGGUUUUUCUGCAUUUCAGGUUGCGAAGAGGCGCUGGUGUGUUUGGGUGGUCUCUACGGCGACAUUGACGAGGUGGUCAGGUGAAGAUGCUUCACAAUGGAGGUUCUGAUUCUUUACGAUUGGGUUCCUGCAAUUUGCAGUUCUGUCUACGGUGGCUGCCAUAGGAGCGUGAUUUGGUUACUAGAGAAGAUGAAGGAUGGCAAUCCAGGAGCAAUGUUUGGUGCUG